GGAUGCAAUCAUACCAGCACUAAAGCACCGGAUCCCAUCAGAACUUCGAAGUUAAGCAUGAUUGGGUGAGAUUAGUACUAGGAUGGGUAACCUCCUGGGAAGUCUUCGUGUGUGGUGCUCG
rnacentral:rRNA from 16 species